rnacentral:rRNA from 1 species
GAUGAACGCUGGCGGCAUGCCUAAUACAUGCAAGUCGAACGAGAGGAAGGAAAGCUUGCUUUUCUGAAUCUAGUGGCGAACGGGUGAGUAACACGUAGGUAACCUGCCCAUGUGCCCGGGAUAACUUCUGGAAACGGAUGCUAAAACCGGAUAGGUAGCAGACAAGCAUUUGACUGCUAUUAAAGCGGCUAAGGCCAUGAACAUGGAUGGACCUGCGGUGCAUUAGCUAGUUGGUGAGGUAACGGCCCACCAAGGCGACGAUGCAUAGCCGGCCUGAGAGGGCGGACGGCCACAUUGGGACUGAGACACGGCCCAAACUCCUACGGGAGGCAGCAGUAGGGAAUUUUCGUCAAUGGGGGGAACCCUGAAUGAGCAAUGCCGCGUGAGUAAGGAAGGUCUUCGGAUCGUAAAGCUCUGUUGUAAGAGAAAAACGACAUUCAUAGGGAAUGAUGAGUGAGUGAUGGUAUCUUACCAGAAAGUCACGGCUAACUACGUGCCAGCCGCCGCGGUAAGAC